rnacentral:lncRNA from 1 species
UGGGGUCACACAACAAAGAACUUUGGUCUAGGAUUAUUUAAUUGGACUCAAUUGAUUCAAUUGGGUCUAAGGUAUUCAUGCUAGCACAUCAUUUGACUUAGAUUGUCUCAGAUUAGGUUUUCCUAUUGGAUAGGACUUAGCCUAAUCUAAUUGGACUAUUAAUUUGGCACCAAGAGUUGGUUCCAUUUAAUUUUCUUCAAUUUAAUUUGAAUUUAAUUCAAAUUUUAAUGGACACGUGCCCAUUUGAAAGUCAAAU